ensembl:lncRNA
AGACAUUUCAGAUGCAACCAUUGCCGUAUAUGAGACGUGAUGGCAUCAAUUGAGCGCGUGUUAAUGAGCACGUUGAAGUAUUUCAGCUCCUAACCUGUUCUGUGCAUUACAGACUUUCUCUGAAUACCCACUGAUUCCAUGAUAACCUUUAGUAGUCCACUCUGUGAGGGGUUUCUCCUUCACCUUCAUCUGACAGUAUUAUCUAGAAGGAUUUGGUCAGAUACUGAUGUUAAAAAUGGUGCUCUAGACUUUCAUUUAGACUCUGCAUCGUUGGCUUGGAGAGGCAUCAUGUCCAGGCUACGCUCCAACCACUGUCCGUUUAAACUGAGAGGACGGGCUUGGAGAGGCAUCAUGUCCAGGCUACGCUCCAACCACUGUCAGUUUAAACUGAGAGGACGGGCUUGGAGAGGCAUCAUGUCCAGGCUACGCUCCAACCACUGUCAGUUUAAACUGAGAGGACGGGCUUGGAGAGGCAUCAUGUCCAGGCUACGCUCCAACCACUGUCAGUUUAAACUGAGAGGACGGGCUUGGAGAGGCAUCAUGUCCAGGCUACGCUCCAACCACUGUCAGUUUAAACUGAGAGGACGGGCUUGGAGAGGCAUCAUGUCCAGGUUACGCUCCAACCACUGUCAGUUUAAACUGAGAGGACGGAAGAGGGUCCCUUCAUCUGUCGACUGUUGUCUCUCAACCCUGUCACUUUUCAGAUUGAUCUGGAAUGUAUUCUAUAAUGGAUGUAUUUUAACAUCAUUGAGUCUCAUAUCAAAAGUAUUAUAACUAGCUAACUAUAUAACAACAACAAAAAUAUGCUAAUUGUACACUUUGAGUCUUUCACUUGUUGUGAAGAUUUCACUACACAGUAUAGCUGAAUGGAAGUUGUUCCUUUUAACAACAACUGCUUCCAUUUCAUUACGAUUCAUAACCAACAAGUCAUUUCUUUUAGAGGUUGUUGAAGUUUGGAACGUUUGAUAUUUAGUGUGUUAUGUGACGAGUGUGAGGAUGGACAGGCCUUGUGGUCUUCUAAAGUGUGAGGAUGGACAGGCCUUGUGGUCUUCUAAAGUGUGAGGAUGGACAGGCCUUGUGGUCUUCUAAAGUGUGAG